rnacentral:rRNA from 1 species
GGAUUCCCCUAGUAACUGCGAGUGAACCGGGAAAAGCUCAAAUUUUGAAUCUGGCGGUCUUUGGGCCGUCCGAGUUGUAAUCUAGAGAAGCGUCUUCCGCGUUGGACCGUGUAUAAGUUUCCUGGAAUGGAACGUCGUAGAGGGUGACAAUCCCGUCUUUGACACGGACUCCCAGGGCUAUGUGAUGCGCUCUCGACGAGUCGAGUUGUUUGGGAAUGCAGCUCAAAUAGGGUGGUAAAUUCCAUCUAAAGCUAAAUACAGGCGAGAGACCGAUAGCGAACAAGUACCGUGAGGGAAAGAUGAAAAGAACUUUGGAAAGAGAGUUAAACAGUACGUGAAAUUGCUGAAAGGGAAACGCUUGAUGUCAGUCGCAUCGUCCGGGGAUCAGCCUCGCUUUUUUUGCUCGGCGUACUUCCUGGUCGAUGGGUCAGCAUCGGUUUCGAUCGUCGGAAAAUGGCUCGAGGAACGUGGCACUCUUCGGGGUGUGUUAUAGACUCGAGUCGAAUGCGACGCUUGGGACCGAGGAACUCAGCACGACCUUCGGGUUCGGGGCUUCGGCUCACGUUCGCGUGCUUAGGAUGCUGGCAUAAUGGCCUUAAGCGACCCGUCUUGAAACACGGACCAAGGAGUCUAACUCGCGUGCGAGUGUUUGGGUGAUCAAAACCCGGGCGCGUAAUGAAAGUGAAAGUCGAGACCUCUGUCGU